AAGAGGGGGCGGGGGGAGAAGCGGAAGUCGGAACACGCCAUCAACUCCAACAAAAAUGUAAAAAAAAAAAUACUUUUUAAAAAAAAAUGCGAUUUGAUUUGAAUUUUAAAAGUUAAGAAAGUGCAAUACAAUGACACCCACAACAACAGUUCAUGGUUUUUACCCGUGGAACCUAUGCUCAGCUAUUUUCAGAAUAAAUAAUCUAUUCACAAAAUCGAAGUUAGUUACUAGCUCGCUGGUGCGAUUUAAUAAGCACAGUUUGCCUUGACCUCCGAUGACCAGUGAAAGCUGUCCGUAUGCUCACCCGGAGAAUUCACUGGAGCCUCUGCACUACACCAAAAGUGGAAAAUAGUGGAGCAUAGCAAAAGAAUAGCUGCAUGUGAUUACUACUACUACACCGUGGCAGAAAUCUGACCUUAAUAUGUUUUUCCGCCUCAGGACAGAAAGUUGCACGGCCAUAAGAAACCGGAACGGAACACCUCCUAAACAGCCAAUCGGCAUCCUCGCUCAUCACCAGAAGACUGCAAAGGUUGAAACAAGCAGGCGGGGGCUGACAAUCAGACUGGCACAACAGGAAAAGAAUCAACACAAUGUGGAUUUGGAGCUGCUUGAGUCCAAUUGACAGCGUGUAUUUACCGCCUGGCUGCCAAGGCGAUGUGACUUUCACGCUGUAUUUGUGGCCCGCCGUUGGAGGCGCCCCCUCCGGACAUUGGAGAACAACGGCUGCUUCCGGAUAGAUUACAAAUGAGGAGGCGGAAGGACAGAGAAGGCCUCUUCUCUCCUGUCACUCAAGCCUCCGAUGCAGCUAGUGUGUGAAGGGCAGAGGCGGUGGAUUAUGGGACCGUGUCACGGCAUCUUUUAGAGUUUUUGGCUGCUCUAUGCACCCUCGGGACUCGCACUUCAUUGAGUCAGUAUUGACAUCUCUGUGUGGCAGCUUGGAAUCUCUAUUAAGGCGAACACACGGAGCCAUGCAGCGGGACACUACGACGGCGUGUCGGAGCCGGCCACACAAGUGACGUCCUCCCACCGCAUCCGCGCCGCAGUCGUCUCAACGCGAAGGAAUAUCGCGCAAGGCUUCCUCCUCGCGAGACGGACGCCGACCUGCGUCGUCAAGGUGGAGAGAUGAGCACAUGCGCUGAACAAAGGCGGCAGAAUUAAAACAAGAAGAUGCCCAAGUUGAGACGCUGAAGCAGGUCAGUUUGCGCCGAUCGCUUUGAAUGCUAAUGCUACUGGUGCACAGUUCAGUCAAGGCCAAAAAACCUUCACCUUGU